rnacentral:rRNA from 1 species
UACGGGGGGAGCAAGCGUUGUUCGGAUUUACUGGGCGUAAAGGGCGCGUAGGCGGCGUGACAAGUCACUUGUGAAAUCUCCGGGCUUAACUCGGAACGGUCAAGUGAUACUGUCGUGCUAGAGUACAGAAGGGGCAACUGGAAUUCUCGGUGUAGCGGUGAAAUGCGUAGAUAUCAGGAGGAACACCGGUGGUGCAGACGGCUCUCUGGACCGUAACUGACGCUGAGACACGAAAGCGUGGGUAGCAAACAGG